AUUGAACGCUGGCGGCAUGCUUUACACAUGCAAGUCGAACGGCAGCGCGGGCUUCGGCCUGGCGGCGAGUGGCGAACGGGCGAGUAAUGCAUCGGAACGUGCCCAGUAGUGGGGGAUAGCCCGGCGAAAGCCGGAUUAAUACCGCAUACGACCUGAGGGUGAAAGCGGGGGACCGAAAGGCCUCGCGCUAUUGGAUCGGCCGAUGUCGGAUUAGCUAGUUGGUGGGGUAAAGGCUUACCAAGGCGACGAUCCGUAGCUGGUCUGAGAGGACGACCAGCCACACUGGGACUGAGACACGGCCCAGACUCCUACGGGAGGCAGCAGUGGGGAAUUUUGGACAAUGGGGGCAAGCCUGAUCCAGCCAUGCCGCGUGCGGGAAGAAGGCCUUCGGGUUGUAAACCGCUUUUGUUCGGGAAGAAAUCCUCUGGGCUAAUACCCCGGGGGGAUGACGGUACCGGAAGAAUAAGCACCGGCUAACUACGUG
rnacentral:rRNA from 1 species